AUUAGCUCAGUUGGUUAGAGCAUGGUGUUAAUGACACCAAGGUUGUGGGUUCAAUCCCUGUAU
rnacentral:tRNA from 1 species